UCCGGUGAUAAUAAUAGAGAGGACCCACCUGUACCCAUGCCGAACACAGCAGUUAAGCUCUCUGAUGCAGACGAUAGUCAGCUGGCGACGGCUCGCGAAAAUAUGUCAUUGCCGGAU
rnacentral:rRNA from 1 species